rnacentral:rRNA from 1 species
UACAGAGGUCCCAAGCGUUGUUCGGAUUCACUGGGCGUAAAGGGUGCGUAGGUGGUGAGGUAAGUCGGAUGUGAAAUCUCCAAGCUCAACUUGGAAACUGCAUUGGAAACUACCUUGCUAGAGGAUUUGAGGGGGGGAUUGGAAUACUUGGUGUAGCAGUGAAAUGCGUAGAUAUCAAGUGGAACACCAGUGGCGAAGGCGGCUCGCUGGGACGUUACUGACGCUGAGGCGCGACAGCGUGGGGGAGCAAACAGG